rnacentral:rRNA from 1 species
GAUUUCUGGUCUGGUGCGCCUGGCCCGCGGCUCUUAGCUUGUGAGUGCCGGGUCGCGCCUGCCAUCCUUGUAGAGAACCUAUCUACCCUUCACUGGGCCGGAUAUGGCUUUUCUACAUCUUUUACUUUGAGAAAAUUAGAGUGUUUAAAGCAGGCUGUUAUUGCUAUGAAUACAUUAGCAUGGAAUAAUAAUUUAGGACUUCGGUUCUAUUUUGUUGGUUCUUAGGACUGAAGUAAUGAUUGAUAGGGAUAGUUGGGGGUGCUAGUAUUCAGUGGCCAGAGGUGAAAUUCUCGGAUUCACUGAAGACUAACUUAUGCGAAAGCAUU